CAGGCUGGUUCUGCUCCCGGGCCGGCCUGAGCUCCCCAGAGGCCCUGUGUGAAGGAGGCUGGUACUGUCCUAGGGCCUCUGUCUCCGGGCACAGUCCAGACACCAUCUGCCCACCUGGGCACUGGUGCCCCUCUGGCAGCCUGGAGCCUCAGCCCUGCCUUCCUGGGCAGUAUCAGGAUGAACCUGGACAGAGUUUCUGCAAGACAUGCCCUGCUGGGAAGUUCUGUCCCAUGGGGACCCAGGGUCAAGGAUCCAGGCUCAUUAGUCCAGUGGAUUGUCCUGCUGGCUACUACUGCCCUCCAGGUACUCAGAGCCCAACCCAACACCCAUGUCCCAGGGGCACCUUCCGAGAGAGACCAGGGGCACUCAGUGCCAAGGACUGCAGUCCUUGUCCUGCAGGACAAUUCUGUGCUGAUUCAGGAUCUGGGAAACGCUUUCCAGAUGGCCCAUGCUCAGCAGGAUAUUACUGUCCGCCUGGCCAGACCUCAGCUACCCGCAAGUCUUUCCGGUGCCCCAGUGGCUUCUACUGUCCCGAGGGAUCUCCUCAGCCAAGAGCUUGUGGGAAGGGAACCUUCCAGUCCCAGGAGACACAGGGCUCCUGUGAUCCUUGCCCAGCAGGUUUCUACUGUGAAGCCUCCAGCACAGGGAUGUUCUGCUCAUCAGAAGGGCUACCUCAACCAUCUGGGCUCUGCCACUCUGCUCACUACUGCACAGGGGGCGCCAUAUCUCCCACCCCCAUCAAACACCAAGUGGAGGUGCCUGGACUUUCUGGGAAUGAUAUCUGCCCCCCUGGCUUCUUCUGUCCCAGAGGAACAGGAUUUCCACUUCCAUGCCCCCCUGGGUUCUACUCCUCUACACCUGGCCUGGACAGCAAGGACCAGUGCCAGCCAUGCCCUGUGGGGCACUACUGUAGCCAUCCUGGGCUGUCCAGCAUCCUAGAGGCCAGGCUCUGCCAUGCAGGGUCACUACUGCCCAGCAGGGACAUCCUCCCCUCACCCCUGCCCAGAGGGAACUCUGAGCCCAAGGGAAGGUGCUCCUUCCUCCAGGGCCUGCCUGCCCUGUCCUGCAGGGAGUUAUUGCCCUGGAGAGGGCAACGGGCAGCCUGAGGGACCCUGCUCAGCUGGUUACUACUGCAAGGGCGGUGCAGCUAGCCCCACACCCUGGGGAAAUGGUGCCUUCACCCUCAAUGGGCCCUGCCCCCAAAGCCACUACUGCCCACAGGGCACUCUGUACCCUGUGCCCUGCCCUCCGGGGACAACAAGAAACAGUCCUGGUGAGCAUCUGUCUUAUGCCAACCUCCCCCCAAGGGACCCCAAGCGGCCUCUUCCACGU
rnacentral:lncRNA from 1 species